rnacentral:rRNA from 1 species
GAUGAACGCUGGCGGCGUGCCUAAUACAUGCAAGUCGAGCGAACGGACGAGAAGCUUGCUUUUCUGAUGCUAGCGGCGGACGGGUGAGUAACACGUGGAUAACCUACCUAUAAGACUGGGAUAACUUCGGGAAACCGGAGCUAAUACCGGAUAAUAUUUUGAACCGCAUGGUUCAAAAGUGAAAGACGGUCUUGCUGUCACUUAUAGAUGGAUCCGCGCUGCAUUAGCUAGUUGGUAAGGUAACGGCUUACCAAGGCAACGAUGCAUAGCCGACCUGAGAGGGUGGUCGGCCACACUGGAACUGAGACACGGUCCAGACUCCUACGGGAGGCAGCAGUAGGGAAUCUUCCGCAAUGGGCGAAAGCCUGACGGAGCAACGCCGCGUGAGUGAUGAAGGUCUUCGGAUCGUAAAACUCUGUUAUUAGGGAAGAACAUAUGUGUAAGUAACUGUGCACAUCUUGACGGUACCUAAUCAGAAAGCCACGGCUAACUACGUG